CCGAGUGGCGGACGGGUGAGUAACGCGUGGGUAACCUGCCUCAUACAGGGGGAUAACGGUUAGAAAUGACUGCUAAUACCGCAUAAGCGCACAGUACCGCAUGGUACGUUGUGAAAAACUCCGGUGGUAUGAGAUGGACCCGCGUCUGAUUAGCUAGUUGGUGGGGUAACGGCCCACCAAGGCGACGAUCAGUAGCCGACCUGAGAGGGUGACCGGCCACAUUGGGACUGAGACACGGCCCAG
rnacentral:rRNA from 1 species